UUGUUUACUACAUAAUGGUUCAGUAGCAUAUGGUUAAACUCAAGUGCUUGUAAUGCACAGUAGCAUAUUUGAAGGUAAACUGAAGUACACAGGACCAGUACUAAGAGAAGGCAUAACACUGAUCUUCUUUAUUACCCAUUACUAAAAGGCUCAUCCACUCCCACUAUAAACCAAGGCUCAGGUACCUAUAAAAAACCCAGGCUGAUUUAGGUUCUUGAAGCAUGUAAUGAUCAUGUGUCCCUUUUGGCAAUCAUAUAAUUGCUGUAGCAGGUAACUUGGGACGUUUCAUGGACGUUGUUGACCCAUUUUGCAUGGUGUUCUCAAGCAUUUCGUGCUG
rnacentral:lncRNA from 1 species